AAUGUACUCCCUCCGUCCGGAAAUACUUGUCGGAGAAAUGCAUAAAAAUGGAUGUAUCUAGAACUAAAAUAUGUCUAGAUACAUCCAUUCCUCCGACAAGUAUUUCCGGACGGAGGGAGUAUUUU
rnacentral:pre_miRNA from 1 species